AGGCUGCAACUCGCCUACAUGAAGUCGGAANCGCUAGUAAUCGCGGAUCAGCAUGCCGCGGUGAAUACGUUCCCGGGCCUUGUACACACCGCCCGUCACACCAUGAGAGUUUGUAACACCCAAAGCCGGUGGGGUAACCUUUUGGAGCCAGCCGUCUAAGGUGGGACAGAUGAUUGGGGUGAAGUCGUAACAAGGUAAC
rnacentral:rRNA from 1 species